AACGAACGCUGGCGGCAUGCCUAACACAUGCAAGUCGAACGAGACCUUCGGGUCUAGUGGCGCACGGGUGCGUAACGCGUGGGAACCUGCCCUUAGGUUCGGAAUAACUCCCCGAAAGGGGUGCUAAUACCGGAUAAUGUCUUCGGACCAAAGAUUUAUCGCCUUUGGAUGGGCCCGCGUUGGAUUAGCUAGUUGGUAGGGUAAAAGCCUACCAAGGCGACGAUCCAUAGCUGGUCUGAGAGGAUGAUCAGCCACACUGGGACUGAGACACGGCCCAGACUCCUACGGGAGGCAGCAGUGGGUAAUAUUGGACAAUGGGCGAAAGCCUGAUCCAGCAAUGCCGCGUGAGUGAUGAAGGCCUUAGGGUUGUAAAGCUCUUUUACCCGGGAUGAUAAUGACAGUACCGGGAGAAUAAGCUCCGGCUAACUCCGUG
rnacentral:rRNA from 1 species